CCUACGGGUGGCAGCAGUGAGGAAUAUUGGUCAAUGGGCGGGAGCCUGAACCAGCCAAGUCGCGUGAGGGAAGACGGUCCUAUGGAUUGUAAACCUCUUUAGGCGGGGAGCAAUGCCGGGCACGCGUGCCCGGAGGGAGAGUACCCGCAGAAUAAGCAUCGGCUAACUCCGUGCCAGCAGCCGCGGUAAAACGGAGGUUGCGAGCGUUAUCCGGAUUUAUGGGGUUAAAAGGGUGCGUAGGCGGAUUUUUAAGUCAGCGUUAAAAUGUCCGGGCUCAACUCGGGCCGGCCGUUGAAACUGGUGAUCUUGAGUGGGCGAGAAGUAGGCGGAAUGCGUGGUGUAGCGGUGAAAUGCAUAGAUAUCACGAAGAACUCCGAUUGCGAAGGCAGCAUACCGGCGCCCGACUGACGCUGAGGCACGAAAGCGUGGGGAUCGAACAGGAUUAGAUACCCUGGUAGUC
rnacentral:rRNA from 1 species